GCCUACACAGGGCGAGUGUGAGUCGGAAGGGGCUCCAUUCCCAUUCAUCCCAGAACAGUGUACACCGUGGGCUCAGAGUGUGGGCAACCACCUGUGUUCCCCAGACAGAGGCUACAAGUCAAAGGUAUAGCUCGAUUCCUGCUGGGAUACAUUAGGGCUAACAACAGCAUCUACCUGAUAGUGGCCUGACUGGCUUUCUCCUAAAUUUACAAUGGUGACGCUUAACCCCUAGGACCUCAGAAUCUGGAGACAGGACUCUUAAAGAGCUACCUCUGGAGAGAGCUAGCCCCUGCAGGUGCCCACAAGACUGGCACUGGUGCCUGAAGGAGGGUUAGGGACAUGACUGAAGCCCGCAGCUCAGGGAUGUACAUCUUCCCAGUAGCAAGCAAAUGGCCCUCAGCAAGUUCAGGAGGGAUGCCUCAGUGGAAACCAGCCUAGAAGCAGCUUGAUCUUAAAAUUUUACCUCCAAAAUUAUGAGACAAUAAAGUUCUGUUGUCUCAGA